rnacentral:rRNA from 1 species
AGGUCCAGCCUGCCCAGUGACAAAAUUCAACGGCCACGGUAUCCUAACCGUGCGAAGGUAGCAUAAUCACUUGUUCUUUAAAUGGGGACUAGUAUCAACGGCAUCACGAGGGUUACACUGUCUCCUUUUUCUAAUCAGUGAAACUAAUCUCCCCGUGAAGAAGCGGGGAUACCCCUAUAAGACGAGAAGACCCCAUGGAGCUUUAAACCCAACUACACUCCCGACUCUCAAAACCACUAAACUCCCGGGACCCUACUACGUUGGUUUUAGGUUGGGGCGACCACGGAGUACAAUAAAACCUCCACAAUGAACAGGACUAUUCCUUUAUCUAAGAGCUACACCUCUAAGAAUUGACACAUCAACAUAAUAUGAUCCAUUUUUUGAUCAAUGAACCAAGUUACCCUGGGGAUAACAGCGCAAUCCAUUUCAAGAGCCCCUAUCGACAAAUGGGUUUACGACCUCGAUGUUGGAUCAGGGUAUCCCAGUGGUGCAGCAGCUACUAACGGUUUGUUUGUUCAACGAUUAAAACCCUACGUGAUCUGAGU